rnacentral:misc_RNA from 1 species
UCCGGUUUGUCACCGGCAGUCUCGCAUGAGUCCCCAACUAAAUGCUGGCAACAUGCGACGGGGGUUGCGCUCGUUGCGGGACUUAACCCAACAUUUCACAACACGAGUUGACGACAGCCAUGCACCACCUGUGAUCGUGCCCCGAAGGGAGGGUGUGUUUCCACGGCGGUCACCCACAUGUCAAGCCCAGGUAAGGUUCUUCGCGUUGCGUCGAAUUAAACCACAUGCUCCGCUGCUUGUGCGGGUCCCCGUCAAUUCCUUUGAGUUUUAACCUUGCGGCCGUACUCCCCAGGCGGAGUGCUUAAUGCGUUAGCUGCGACACCGAGGCUCUAAGAGCCCCAACGUCUAGCACUCAUCGUUUACGGCGUGGACUAC